rnacentral:tRNA from 1 species
AGAAAAGUAUUUAAAAAAAAUAAAAUCUAAAUUGCAAUUAGAAAUUGAAGUAAUUCCUUUUCU